UGGGUUCCAGCCCUGGGUUCCAGCCCUGGGUUCCAGCUCUGGGUUCCAGCUCCGGGUUCCAGCUC
rnacentral:lncRNA from 1 species